rnacentral:rRNA from 1 species
ACGGGUGAGUAAUACGUAUCCAACCUGCCGUCUACUCUUGGACAGCCUUCUGAAAGGAAGAUUAAUACAAGAUGGCAUCAUGAGUUCACAUGUUCACAUGAUUAAAGGUAUUCCGGUAGACGAUGGGGAUGCGUUCCAUUAGAUAGUAGGCGGGGUAACGGCCCACCUAGUCUUCGAUGGAUAGGGGUUCUGAGAGGAAGGUCCCCCACAUUGGAACUGAGACACGGUCCAA